UAUCUUCCACAAUGGACGCAAGUCUGAUGGAGCAACGCCGCGUGAGUGAAGAAGGUUUUCGGAUCGUAAAGCUCUGUUGUUGGUGAAGAAAGAUAGUGAGAGUAACUGCUCAUUAUUUGCCGGUAAUCAACCAGAAAGUAACGGCUAACUACGUGCCAGCAGCCGCGGUAAUA
rnacentral:rRNA from 1 species